rnacentral:tRNA from 1 species
GGCUCUGUGGUGAAAUUCAUGGUGAGUUGCAAGCUCAUUGAUGUGUGUUGACUACACGCCGGGGCCU